rnacentral:rRNA from 1 species
CCUACGGGAGGCAGCAGUGAGGAAUAUUGGUCAAUGGACGAGAGUCUGAACCAGCCAAGUAGCGUGAAGGAUGACUGCCCUAUGGGUUGUAAACUUCUUUUAUAUGGGAAUAAAGUGAGGAACGUGUUCCUUUUUGUAUGUACCAUAUGAAUCAGGAUCGGCUAACUCCGUGCCAGCAGCCGCGGUAAUACGGAGGAUGCGAGCGUUAUCCGGAUUUAUUGGGUUUAAAGGGUGCGUAGGUGGUAAAUUAAGUCAGCGGUGAAAGUUUGUGGCUCAACCAUAAAAUUGCCGUUGAAACUGGUUGACUUGAGUAUAUUUGAGGUAGGCGGAAUGCGUGGUGUAGCGGUGAAAUGCAUAGAUAUCACGCAGAACUCCGAUUGCGAAGGCAGCUUACUAAACUAUAACUGACACUGAAGCACGAAAGCGUGGGGAUCAAACAGGAUUAGAUACCCGAGUAGUC